rnacentral:misc_RNA from 1 species
GAUGAAGAACGUAGCGAAAUGCGAUAAGUAAUGUGAAUUGCAGAAUUCAGUGAAUCAUCGAAUCUUUGAACCCACAUUGCGCCCGGGAGCAUUCUCCCGGGCAUGCCUGUUCGAGCGUCAUUUCAACCCUCGAUUUCCCUUUGGGGAAGUCGGCCGUUGGAGAUCGGCAGCACUGCCGGCUCCCAAAUACAGUGGCGACCCGCCGCGGGGACCCCUGCGUAGUAACUUACACUCGCACCGGAAACCAGACGUGUCACGCCGUAAAACCCCCAACUUUCUGAACGUUGACCUCGGAUCAGGUAGGAAUACCCGCUGAACUUAAGCAUAUCAAUAAGCGGAGGA